GACGAACGCUGGCGGCGUGCUUAACACAUGCAAGUCGAACGGUAAGGCCCUUCGGGGUACACGAGUGGCGAACGGGUGAGUAGCACGUGGGUGAUCAGCCCUGCACUUCGGGAUAAGCCUGGGAAACUGGGUCUAAUACCGGAUAGGACUCCGGACUGCAUGGUCUGGGGUGGAAAGCUUUUGCGGUGUGGGAUGGGCCCGCGGCCUAUCAGCUUGUUGGUGGGGUGAUGGCCUACCAAGGCGACGACGGGUAGCCGGCCUGAGAGGGUGACCGGCCACACUGGGCCGGAGAUACGGCCCAGACUCCUACGGGAGGCAGCAGUGGGGAAUAUUGCACAAUGGGCGCAAGCCUGAUGCAGCGACGCCGCGUGAGGGAUGACGGCCUUCGGGUUGUAAACCUCUUUCAGCACAGACGAAGCGCAAGUGACGGUAGGUGCAGAAGAAGGACCGGCCAACUACGUGCCAGCCGCCGCAGUAA
rnacentral:rRNA from 1 species